UACGUAGGGUGCGAGCGUUGUCCGGAAUUAUUGGGCGUAAAGAGCUUGUAGGCGGUCUGUCGCGUCUGCUGUGAAAAUCCGGGGCUCAACCCCGGACUUGCAGUGGGUACGGGCAGACUAGAGUGUGGUAGGGGAGACUGGAAUUCCUGGUGUAGCGGUGAAAUGCGCAGAUAUCAGGAGGAACACCGAUGGCGAAGGCAGGUCUCGUGGGCCAC
rnacentral:rRNA from 1 species